rnacentral:rRNA from 1 species
GUCUACGGCCAUGCCACCCUGAACACGCCCAAUCCCAUCUGAUCUUGGAAGCUAAGCAGGGUCGGGCCUGGUUAGUAUUUGGAUGGGAGACCACCUAGGAAGGCCAGGUGUAUGCUGUAGGCA